GAAAAUAAAACACUUAAAGAAAUCAGAUCUGAUAAAAUACAAUAAAAGAGAAUGGCCAAAAAAUGUUAACAUAUCAAUUUCACCACUACCACCAUCCACACCAUCAUCACCAUAACAAUUUUCAACAACAAUUCUCUCUACAACAAUUUAUGAGUUAAAUAAUGAUUUAUGGGUUUGUGAAUUUUUGGGUUAUAGAUUUUAAUUUAUGGGUUAAAGAAUGAUUCACGGUAUUGUUGUUGUGAAAAUUAAGCUACUUUCUUAGUGUUGUUUUUGUUCGAAUUAGCAUGGUGGUGGUGGUGUUCUUGUUGUUUAAUUUUUUCCAUGAUAUUGCUUUUGAAUGAACUAGGGUUAUUUUGCCCCUUUUUAAUUGUUGUACCAGAGAAAGAGGGAGAUGAAGAUGAAAAAUAAUUAAGAUGAACAAAAAUCCAACAUUUUGUAAUUCAAUAAUGAAAUUUUGGAUUUUGAAGAAUAAAUUCUGGCUUUUUUAUGAAUAUCAUGAAGAUGAUGAUGAAGAUGAAGGAGUUGAGCGAAGAAGAUGAAGAAAUAGAAACAAAACUUAGUUGGUGAUGGUGCACUGUUAGAUUCUGUGGACAUGCAAAAUCUAAUGGUUGUUUCUCUUUCAAAAGAUCCAAUGGUUAAAAUUAAAAAAUAUAUUGUAGUAUAUGGUGGACCACCUAUAAUAUUGAUCACCUAAUAUAUUUGUGGUUGAUAAAUUAACGGAAAGGACCAAUGUGACAAACAGAGAUAUCUUUAAGGGACCAAUCCGGUCCUUUUUUUCUUUAAGGGACCAUUAUGAAAUCUAAAAUAUCUUUAAGGGACCAAAAAACUAAUUAAGCCU
rnacentral:lncRNA from 1 species